CCCUUAGACGUUCUGGGCCGCACGCGCGCUACACUGACCAGUGCAACAAGCAUCCGUCCUUGGCCGACAGGCUCGGGCAAUCUUUGAACGCUGGUCGUGAUGGGGAUAGACUUUUGCAAUUUUUGGUCUUCAACGAGGAAUUCCUAGUAAACGCAAGUCAUCAACUUGCAUUGAUUACGUCCCUGCCCUUUGUACACACCACCCGUCGCACCUACCGAUUGAAUGGUCCGGUGAAGCCUCCGGAUUGGCGCGCACCUCGGUGCCGCCGAGAAGUUGGCUAAACCUUACCAUUUAGAGGAAGGUGAAGUCGUAACA
rnacentral:rRNA from 1 species